UUCCUCUACAAUCAUAGGUUUCUGUGUUUAACUUUAAUCAUCAAUCUUAUUUAAUUUUUUUAUGAUUAGCAUUUUGUUUGUUAUUAGAUGAUAAAACAUGAACAAUAAUUUAUACGUGACCUAUGUUUUUAUUUUUAAAAAAAGUUAAAUAAGAUAGAUGAUUAAAGUUAGAUACGAAAACAUAUGACUGUACUUAAA
rfam:Oryza glaberrima chromosome 11 Oglab11_0056_7, whole genome shotgun sequence.